GCGGGUAUAGCUUAGUGGUAAAGUGCAACCUUGCCAAGGUUGUGAUGCGGGUUCGAUUCCCGCUACCCGCUCCA
rnacentral:tRNA from 1 species